AUAAAAGCCAACCUAAAACGCCUACAACCACACACUCUAUUAAACACUGAUCCACCAUUUCUGAAAAUGGCAAUACACAUUGACAACUAAAAAACCUUACAGAUCUGCCGUUCUUCAGAAAAAUACACAACAAAAUCAUAAUAGAAAAAUGAGAGCCGAAGACUUCUAGAAAAAGAUUCGCAGUUUCCUAAUCAAAGAAGAACCCCCUCCCCCGUCGAAUUCUGGGCUUCUCUUUCACAAUUCAAGAGCUAGCUUCAUCUUCUAAAAGAGAAAACAAAAAAGAAAGCAGCCAUCAUCUCCCAACAUUUAGACCUAGCGGAACGACACUAGCAGAAAACGCAGCAAAAGAUCUAGCAAACCGCAGCAGCUCCGGCUUGUCCAUCCCAUUCUGGAAAUCGGUUUUGAAUCCAUGUAAAUUUAUCUUCGCUAGGUCACUGGUUUUCCCGACGUUUCGCUGGAGUUGCGCCAUCUCCGACCAGCUAUUUCACUAUAAAACAUAGCAGCUUCAGUUUCUUUAACCGUUGUUGGUCUCUUAAGUUGAGCCCAGCCCGUCAAGGUCGUCGAGGUCUCCGACAAGUUGUUUAUUUGAAUUUCCGUUACCGAGCUUCGUUUUUUUAAAAGAACUUCUGAGUUCGUAGAGUGCAUUUAGAAUCCAAGAUGUAACCAUAUUGUUGACACAGCUCCACUGCUCAUAUUCAGCUGAGUUCAGAUCUGGAGCCUUGCAAGUCUCAUUGAUGAAUCCAAGUUUCUUCUUGGCUGAUAUGGAUAGAAGAAUGGAUCUCUUAGAUCCUGGAUAACCUCUUCCAUCAAACACAGUGUUGACUAGGGUCAUCCCAGGUGAAUCUGAGUUGUUAAGAUGAUAUGGGUGAUUAAUGCCAUAUCCUGCUGCCUUAGGAGUGUUCCCAAUAUCUGCAGCUAUGGUUUCAUCAGUUGUAGGCAUCUUCCUUCACUUGGAGUUGUAGGAUAGAAUUUGGUGAUUGAUGAUUAUUGUUGGAUCGAGUUUAAUGCUCUGAUACCAUGAAGGAUUUUGAAGAUUCAGCUAUGCAGAAUCGAAGAAAAUAGAUGACUGAAGAGUUAGAGAAAUUUUCUGUGUCUUCAUUCAAUUAUUUGUACAUAUGUAUAUAUAUACAAUUGAGUAUUGAAUAGUAUAUAAAGAAAAAGAAAAUACUAUUUACACUUGUCCUA